AGCGUAGACCUGUAUUCACUUUUGUUUUCUCAAUUAUUUACAACUCUGAUUCGCACACAAUGGGAUCGAUUCAAAAGUAUCACUUCCCUAAACUAAAAAUUUCAAUUGGAUAUAACAGCAAAAUCUUUCCUCUAAAAACCAGUACCAGUAUGAAAUAAAUUAAAUAGAUUUAAGUUAAAAUUACUACGAGUACAAAUGUAGAAUAUGAUGGUCCAUAAAACAGUAAAUUCGAGAAAAUAUUAAAAUGAAAUACUAUUAUAUUAGAUUAGAAGAAACGUUUAGAGAAAUAGCACUGCAGAAUCGGCCCCAAUGUGCCUAUACAAAGAUUUUUUUAACAACUAAACCUAUUAGAAUGUGCGUUUCGUAUUUGAAUAAUAUUUUUAUAAUAGUUUUUACAAAAACUUCUACGUGAAAAGAAAGAUGAUAUACAUAGUUAUCAUGGUGGAAUCCCUGGAGGACUUCAAUACUAUGCUCAAUGACCUCAAUAGUGCUUUUUAACAAGUAGGUCUUAAGAUCAACAUGGAUAAAACUAAAAUAAUGUCUAACGUCCACGUCACACCUAUACCAGUCAUGACUGAGAACACUACGCUCGAAGUUGUCGACGAGUAUGUAUACCUGGAACAACUUUUCCGACUAUGUAAGUCCAUCUUCGACGUAACGUUGGUUGGUCAACCGACGCAACCAACUCGGCUGGACAGCCUUCGGGAAACUACGCCACACAUUCUCUUCUAGAAUACUUCAAAGUUUGAAGACGAAGUUCUUUAACCACUGCAUGUUGCCAGUGAUGACUUAUGAAACCAAAACAUGGUCCUAUAUGGUUGCUCGUAUGCAAUAGUUUCAAAUUACUCAGCAAGCUAUGGAUAGGGCUAUACUCACAGUUUCUUUGCGUGACAAAAUCCGAAACGAGGAUAUCCGCAAAAGAUCCAAAGUUACCGACAUCGCCCUAAAUAAUAAAGCAAGCUAAAAUGCCAAUGGACUGGUCACAUAGCUCGAAGAACCGACAACCGAUGGGGAAGAAGGCAUUUUGAAUGGCGCCCCCGUUUGGGCAAAGGCAAUGGGACAAACGAGCAUGCGGCUCACCUGAUGGAAAGUGAUUACCGCCGCCUUUAUCAUCCACAACACCCGCGGCAUAGCAGGCCGGCCUUUUAAAAAGGAAUAUACUCUUUUCUUGAAGGUUAUGGUGUCGUAUCGGUUCGGAAAUACUGCUGCUGAAAGUUGAUUCCAAAGAAUGGAUGUGCGUGGAAGAAAAUGCUUUGAAAAACGCACGGUAGAAGACCGCCAUUCGUCCAGAUGAUUGGGAUGAAACUUUAGUUUGUAGCGGGUUGUAUAAUAAAAUAGUUAUAUAACAGCUAUAAACUGUCUACUGCUGAAUAUACGUUUCCUCCAAAAGGGAGCUAUGCGAGAAGUUGCCAUGCUUUGCUGGCAGUUUGGCAUUGGCCGUUAAGCUUUGGUGAUGAAACACCACAAGAAAUGAAACACCUACGGGAAAGGAAGGGGUAGCCCAUUCU